rnacentral:rRNA from 1 species
AACGAACGCUGGCGGCAGGCCUAACACAUGCAAGUCGAGCGGACCUUUCGGGGUCAGCGGCGGACGGGUGAGUAACGCGUGGGAAUAUGCCCUUCUCUACGGAAUAGUCCUGGGAAACUGGGGGUAAUACCGUAUACGCCCUUUGGGGGAAAGAUUUAUCGGGGAAGGAUUAGCCCGCGUUGGAUUAGGUAGUUGGUGGGGUAAUGGCCUACCAAGCCGACGAUCCAUAGCUGGUUUGAGAGGAUGAUCAGCCACACUGGGACUGAGACACGGCCCAGACUCCUACGGGAGGCAGCAGUGGGGAAUCUUAGACAAUGGGGGCAACUCUGAUCUAGCCAUGCCGCGUGAGUGAUGAAGGCCUUAGGGUUGUAAAGCUCUUUCAGCUGGGAAGAUAAUGACGGUACCAGCAGAAGAAGCCCCGGCUAACUCCGUG